rnacentral:rRNA from 1 species
UAGGGAAUCUUCCGCAAUGGACGAAAGUCUGACGGAGCAACGCCGCGUGAGUGAAGAAGGAUUUCGGUUCGUAAAACUCUGUUGUUAGGGAAGAAAAAAUGUAUAGUAACUAUAUACAAAAGAGACGGUACCUAACCAGAAAGCCACGGCUAACUACGUGCCAGCAGCCGCGGUAAUACGUAGGUGGCAAGCGUUGUCCGGAAUUAUUGGGCGUAAAGCGCGCGCAGGUGGUUUAGAAAGUCUGAUGUGAAAGCCCACGGCUCAACCGUGGAGGGUCAUUGGAAACUAAUAAACUUGAGUGCAGGAGAGAAAAGUGGAAUUCCUAGUGUAGCGGUGAAAUGCGUAGAGAUUAGGAGGAACACCGGUGGCGAAAGCGGCUCUCUGGUCUGUAACUGACGCUGAGGCUCGAAAGCGUGGGGAGCGAACAGGA